UGAACNGGGUGACUAGAGUGUGUCAGAGGGAGGUAGAAUUNCCACGUGUAGCAGAGAAAUGCGUAGAGAUGUGGAGGAAUACCGAUGGCGAAGGCAGCCUCCUGGGAUAACACUGACGUUCAUGCCCGAAAGCGUGGGUAGCAAACAGGAUUAGAUACCCUGGUAGUNCACGCCCUAAACGAUGUCGAUUAGCUGUUGGGCAGCAUGACUGCUUAGUAGCGGAGCUAACGCGUGAAAUCGACCGCCUGGGGAGUACGGUCGCAAGAUUAAAACUCAAAGGAAUUGACGGGGACCCGCACAAGCGGUGGAUGAUGUGGAUUAAUUCGAUGCAACGCGAAGAACCUUACCUGGUCUUGACAUGUACGGAACCCUCCAGAGACGGAGGGGUGCCUUCGGGAGCCGUAACACAGGUGCUGCAUGGCUGUCGUCAGCUCGUGUCGUGAGAUGUUGGGUUAAGUCCCGCAACGAGCGCAACCCUUGUCAUUAGUUGCCAUCAUUAAGUUGGGCACUCUAAUGAGACUGCCGGUGACAAGCCGGAGGAAGGUGGGGAUGACGUCAAGUCCUCAUGGCCCUUAUGACCAGGGCUGCACACGUCAUACAAUGGUCGGUACAGAGGGUAGCCAAGCCGCGAGGUGGAGCCAAUCUCACAAAACCGAUCGUAGUCCGGAUUGCACUCUGCAACUCGAGUGCAUGAAGUCGGAAUCGCUAGUAAUCGCAGGUCAGCGUACUGCGGUGAAUACGUUCCCGGGUCUUGUACACACCG
rnacentral:rRNA from 1 species